UACGAAGGGUGCUAGCGUUGUUCGGAAUUACUGGGCGUAAAGGGCGCGUAGGCGGCCUAUUAAGUUAGAUGUGAAAGUCCUGGGCUCAACCUGGGGACUGCAUUUAAUACUGGUUGGCUUGAAUUCGGGAGAGGAUAGCGGAAUUCCCAGUGUAGAGGUGAAAUUCGUAGAUAUUGGGAAGAACACCGGUGGCGAAGGCGGCUAUCUGGACCGACAUUGACGCUGAGGCGCGAAAGCGUGGGGAGCAAACAGG
rnacentral:rRNA from 1 species